GACGAACGCUGGCGGCGUGCUUAACACAUGCAAGUCGAACGGUAAGGCCCCAGCUUGCUGGGGUACACGAGUGGCGAACGGGUGAGUAACACGUGGGUGACCUGCCCCGCACUUCGGGAUAAGCCUGGGAAACUGGGUCUAAUACCGGAUAGGACCGCACCGUGAGGGUGUGGUGGAAAGUUUUUCGGUGUGGGAUGGGCCCGCGGCCUUUCAGCUUGUUGGUGGGGUAAUGGCCUACCAAGGCGGCGACGGGUAGCCGGCCUGAGAGGGUGGACGGCCACAUUGGGACUGAGACACGGCCCAGACUCCUACGGGAGGCAGCAGUGGGGAAUAUUGCACAAUGGGCGGAAGCCUGAUGCAGCGACGCCGCGUGGGGGAUGACGGCCUUCGGGUUGUAAACUCCUUUCACCAUCGACGAAGGUUUUCUGACGGUAGAUGGAGAAGAAGCACCGGCUAACUACGUG
rnacentral:rRNA from 1 species